AUUGAACGCUGGCGGCAGGCUUAACACAUGCAAGUCGAGCGGAGAUGAGGUGCUUGCACCUUAUCUUAGCGGCGGACGGGUGAGUAAUGCUUAGGAAUCUGCCUAUUAGUGGGGGACCAUAUUCCGAAAGGAAUGCUAAUACCGCAUACGUCCUACGGGAGAAAGCAGGGGAUCCUCGGACCUUGCGCUACUAGAUGAGCCUAAGUCGGAUGAGCUAGUUGGUGGGGUAAAGGCCUACCAAGGCGACGAUCUGUGGCGGGUCUGAGAGGAUGAUCCGCCACACUGGGACUGAGACACGGCCCAGACUCCUACGGGAGGCAGCAGUGGGGAAUAUUGGACAAUGGGGGGAACCCUGAUCCAGCCAUGCCGCGUGUGUGAAGAGGGCCUUAUGGUUGUAAAGCACUUUAAGCGAGGAGGAGGCUACUGAGACUAAUACUCUUGGAUAGUGGACGUUACUCGCAGAAUAAGCACCGGCUAACUCUGUGCCAGCCGCCGCGGUAA
rnacentral:rRNA from 1 species